rnacentral:ncRNA from 2 species
UAUCGUAUGCGCGCGUUCGGUGCCCGCAGUCGCAUUCGCGACGGCGGUUAAACGGGAAACAGGAAGCGGCGCGCCGCCAGCCUGUGCUGUCCCCGCAACGGUACGCCGCCGGCGGAUCGCGCAAGCGGGACGCGCAGGCCGACUCGAGCCACUGCCGAUCGCGGCGGGAAGGCGUCGGCAUGACAGGCGGCCAGCCCGGAUACCGGCCGACGCAGACGGCGAGCC